CCUACGGGAGGCAGCAGUGGGGAAUAUUGCACAAUGGGGGGAAGCCUGAUGCAGCGAAGCCGCGUGAGUGAAGAAGGAUUUCGGUGUGGAAAGCUCUAUCAGCAGGGAAGAAAAUGACGGUACCUGACUAAGAAGCCACGGCUAACUACGUGCCAGCAGCCGCGGGAAUACGUAGGGGGCAAGCGGUAUCCGGAGUUAGUGGGUGUAAAGGGGGCGGAGGUGGGCGGGCAAGUCAGAUGUGGAAGCCCGGGGCCCAACCCCGGUAUUGCCUUUGAAAAUGUCCGGCUGGAGUUCAGGAGGGGUAAGCGGAAUGCAUAGUGUAGCGGUGAAAUGCGUAGAUAUUAGGCGGAACACCAGUGGCGAAGGCGGCUUACUGGACUGUAACUGACACUGAGGCACGAAAGCGUGGGGAGCAAACAGGAUUAGAUACCCUAGUAGUC
rnacentral:rRNA from 1 species